rnacentral:rRNA from 1 species
GACGAACCGUGCGAACGUUAUUCGGAAUCACUGGGCUUAAAGCGCGUGUAGGCGGGACGGAACGUCGGUAGCUGAAAGCCCCCGGCUCAACCGGGGAAGUGGCGCCGAUACGACCGACCUGGAGGGACGUAGGGGGACCUGGAACUUCCGGUGGAGCGGUGAAAUGCGUUGAGAUCGGAAGGAACGCCCGUGGCGAAAGCGAGGUCCUGGACGUUUACUGACGCUGAGACGCGAAAGCCAGGGGAGCGAACGGG